UACGGGGGGGGCGAGCGUUGUUCGGAAUUACUGGGCGUAAAGGGUUUGUAGGUGGUCUGCUAAGUCAGACGUGAAAUCCCUCAGCUUAACUGGGGAACUGCGUCUGAUACUGGCGGACUUGAGGACAGGAGAGGAACGCGGAAUUCCAGGUGUAGCGGUGAAAUGCGUAGAUAUCGAGAGGAACACCUGCGGCGAAGGCGGGUUGCUGGGCUGACACUGACGCUGAUGCGCGAAAGCCAGGGGAGCGAACGGG
rnacentral:rRNA from 1 species